UCCCGUCGCAUAUGCGGGUUAUCAUAUGCACCUCCCUGUUGGACUUACCCGGGCUUCGCGCCCGGGUAUUUUU
rnacentral:ncRNA from 1 species